CCUACGGGGGGCAGCAGUGGGGAAUAUUGCACAAUGGGGGAAACCCUGAUGCAGCGACGCCGCGUGAGUGAAGAAGUACCCCGGUACGUAAAGCUCUAUCAGCAGGGAAGAAAAUGACGGUACCUGACCAAGAAGCCCCGGCUAACUACGUGCCAGCAGCCGCGGUAAUACGUAGGGGGCAAGCGUUAUCCGGAUUUACUGGGUGUAAAGGGAGCGUAGACGGCAGCGCAAGUCUGGAGUGAAAUCCCGGGGCUCAACCCCGGAACUGCUUUGGAAACUGCGCGGCUCGAGUGCAGGAGGGGCAG
rnacentral:rRNA from 1 species